UACGUAGGUGGCAAGCGUUAUCCGGAAUUAUUGGGCGUAAAGCGCGCGCAGGCGGUCCUUUAAGUCUGAUGUGAAAGCCCACGGCUCAACCGUGGAGGGUCAUUGGAAACUGGGGGACUUGAGUGCAGAAGAGGAGAGUGGAAUUCCUGGUGUAGCGGUGGAAUGCGCAGAUAUCAGGAAGAACACCCGUGGCGAAGGCGGCUCUCUGGAACGCAACUGACGCUGAGACGCGAAAGCGUGGGGAGCAAACAGG
rnacentral:rRNA from 1 species